AGCUAUAUAUUAAAGAGAUUGUAUUUUUCAAUUAAACUCUUAGAUAAAUUAGAUAAUAAACGAAGUAAAUUGAAAUAUCUUAUUAACUUUAGGAACAAAAAUCAAAAGAGAUUCUAUGAUUAGUGUGAAUUAAAAUAGAAAAGCCUAAUUUUUUUAUUCUAUUUUUUGAAUAUAAGUAAAAUGGAUUUUAGUUUUGUUUGAAUAUAGGGGAACCUUCCUCUAAGGCUAAAUAUAAUAUAUAAGCGAUAGCGAAAAAGUACCGUAAGGGAAAUAGAUACAAACAGUAGUUUUAUAAGUAGCUCAAAUAAAACAGAAUAUAAGAGUGUACCUUUUGCAUAAUGGGUCAGCAAGUUAAUAUUAGAUGCAAGCAGUAAUGCCUAGAUAAACCAAUUAUUAACUAAUGAUAAGUAUCUAAGGUUAGACCCGAAGCUUAGUGAUCUUACUAUAAUCAGGGUUAUAAAAGCCCGAACGGGUUAUCGUUGUAUAGAUAUCCGAUGAAUUGUGGUAAGUAGGUGAAAGACAAAGCUGACUAAGAUAGCUGGUUUUCCGCGAAACCUAUUUAGGUAGGUAAUUCAAAUAACAUCUUAGUAGGUACAUAAAUAACUCUUAGGCAAAUACAGAUUUUGUUGUUUACAGAUUAUAACUUUAGAAAAAAAGAAGUUAAACAAUCUAUUUUAAAUUACAAAAUAAUCUUAUUGUAUAUAUCGGGAAAUCUUUGUAGGUUUUAUCGGUGAGUAGAUGAUAUCGGAAGGGCAAAGAUUAGGAUAAUAAUCCAUAAUAUUGAAUAAUCAGACAUAGUAUGAUAAGGUUGUAUGUCUAAAGGGAAACAGCCCAAAACAAGAGUUAAUAAGGUUCCAAAAUUAUUAUUAAGUGAAAUUAAGGAAGUAGUUAUUAUAUACAAUCAGUAAAUAGGCUUAGAAGCAGCCACUUUUUAAAGAUCUCGUAACAGAGCACUGAUUUAUUGUUAUUUAUAAUAAUAAGGCUACUUUACAGUAUGCUUAUAUUUAACUGCACCGAAAAUUUAACGGAUCUAAAUAAUAUACCGACACCUUGUUCAUAUUUUGCUGUUUGUGAAAAAAAAAAUGCAUACAUAUUUGCUUGAAUGAAAUAAACCCAUCAACAUUUGCUAAUACUGUACUUAAAUUCAAAUUAAAGCACAUAAACCAUUAUCGUAUUUAGAAAAAUGCGCUGGAUUUAAGUAAAUUAUAAGCAAAAUAUGUAACUGUAGAUUUUUUGAAAAAUGGCAUAUUAAAGAAAAAUAUGAGGUAGCGGAACGUUGGGGAGAUAUUGGAUUUUUUCUUUUUAAGAAAAACAAUUAUAUAACCCAAGUGAUAAUGCUGACAUGAGUAACAAAAAAAGGGGAUUACCUCCAAAUAAGGAGGGUAAUUGCAAUUGUAAUUAAUCUCCUCGCCUAAAGCUUAUGUUAUUAACUUAAAGUAACGGCCUCUAAGUUUGUAAACCUAACGGGUUGAACGAUGAGAAAUGUCUAGAUAUAUAUUAAAAACUUUUAGCAUAAACAGGUAACUUUUGGUAAAAAGAGUCACAAACUGAUAUAGGUGAAACAAAUUUUAUUAUAUUGUGUAAACUUGCACUGGUUAUGUGAAAGUGUUAAAAGUACUAGAAAAAAUAUAUAUAACCAAUAAAGAUAUGUUACCGUAGCUAGACACUAUGUAGGUAAGCGAGUAGAAUAUACGAAGGCGUCAGAGCUAACAAUCAUUAAGGAACUCGGCAAAUUGACUUGCGUAACUUAGGGAUAAGCAGAACCAUCUUUUCUUGAUUAAUAUCAGGUAAGAAUGAGGUGGCACAUAAUUGUGUUGUACGACUGUUUAUUUAAAACAAAGCACUUUGCGUAAGAUAUAAAUCAAAGUAUUGAGUGUGAUAUCUGCCCUAUGUCGGCUGGUUAACGGAUUUGCUUUAUUAACUAAAACAGAUAAGGCUUUGAAGGAAUCCCCGAUGAAUGGCGGCCUUAACUAUAAGGGUCCUAAGGUAGCGAAAUGCCUUGGCCGUUAAAUGCGGUCUUGCAUGAAUGAUUUAACGAUACAACAGCUGUCUCAAUGAUUGGCUCAGUGAAAUUAUAACAACUGUGCAGAUACAGUUUACCUCUAGUAAGACGAAGACCCUUUGCAGCUUUACUGUUACUAAUUAUUGAGUAUGAUACAUCUAGUUAUAGUGUAUAAGGUAAUUGAUAAAAUAUAAUUGAAACACCUUUACUUAGUUUAUCGUACAAGUAAAAAACGUUUGUACUAAAUGAAUGCAUUUAGUCUGUAAACCAAAUGUUGGAUUUUAGCAGAUAAGGCAAUAUAAUUACUAUCUUUAUUCGGUUUUAAAUCUUUAGUUUUUUAGGUUUAACGAUAAAUACUUGGAUUAAGCAAAUCUACAAAUAUAUUUUACACCACUAAUCCUACUGAAUAGUUACCUAGAAUAAACACAAUCAUGGCAACUAAGGGUACAAUAAUUAGCAGACAGUUUAUGCGGGGCACAGAUCCCAUAAAUAGUACCUGGGUUAAACCAAAGUAAAUCGGUUUUUUACAAAAUAUACUUAGAUAACAAUCUAAUUUGUUUCCCCUGGGUAUAUUUUAAAUUUAAUUAAUUAUUGGAUAUAACUAAUCCAAUCCAACAUUUCAAGUGAGAUUGAAAUAUUUAUUUCUAAGUAGGCAAAUGUUAUAUUGAACAUACAGAUAACAAAAACAACAUUUAGUUAAACUGGUAUUGUUUUUAGUUUUUUUAUUAAUUAACAUGUUAAUUAAUAAAUUGACCUUGAGUUUUUAUCUAAAAAGUUUAACGGCUUAAACCUGCUAUACUGUCUGACCUACAAGUCUAUCAGUCGCGUAAGCGGGGCAUAAGAUCACAAGAUGCAGAAAGGAAAGGUCUUGGAUUAAUGAAAAAGCUACGCUAGGGAUAACAGGCUAAUUGCGCCAGAGAGCACAAAUUGGGUGCGCAGUUUGGCACCUCGAUGUCGGCUUAGCUCAUCCACAUGAAUGCAAGAGUCAUGAAGGGUUCGACUGUUCGUCGAUUAAAGAGCUACACGAGCUGGGUUAAAUACGUCGUGAGACAGUAUGGUUUCUAUCUACUAGAGGAAAAUUAAGUAAAAUAAGGUUAGCCCUUUCGUACGAAAGGAGUUAGGUAUAUUAACCUCUGGGUUACCUGUUGUUUAUCUACCCAAUAUUAAAUUUGUGAGUAAAUAGGUAAUAUUUUUAGUGUAUAUAUUUAUGCUAAAUAAGUUAUUUAUUUGAAAACUUAAAAAAAUAAUACUUUCACUUAAGUAGGUUUUAUUAGUUGUAUAGGCACGGCAGGAAGGCUAAGUUGAUUAAAGAUAAGUGCUGAAUGCAUAUAGGCGCGAAACUUUCCUUAAUAUACUUAUAAGUUAGGUGGUAUAAUACUACCUUAAUUAAUUAAUAAUAGUUGUAUCAAACAAUACCUAAAAUUAAUUAAUAACACUACCGUUAACAAAUCAGAUAAAUCUCCUUGCGUUAUUUUAUUUGAUUUGUUAAUGUAGGAAUAGGCUUUAGCUAAAAGGACGAGGACGUUUUUAGGCAUAAAGUACUAA
rnacentral:rRNA from 1 species